GGUUAUGGCUUACUGGUAGAGUGCUCGCCUUGCAUGUGCAGGGCCCUGGGUUCGAUCCUCAGCACCA
rnacentral:tRNA from 1 species